rnacentral:rRNA from 1 species
UACGUAGGGUGCAAGCGUUAAUCGGAAUUACUGGGCGUAAAGCGUGCGCAGGCGGUUAUGUAAGGCAGAUGUGAAAUCCCCGGGCUCAACCUGGGAACUGCAUUUGUGACUGCAUAGCUGGAGUACGGUAGAGGGGGAUGGAAUUCCGCGUGUAGCAGUGAAAUGCGUAGAUAUGCGGAGGAACACCGAUGGCGAAGGCAAUCCCCUGGACCUGUACUGACGCUCAUGCGCGAAAGCGUGGGGAGCAAACAGG